UACGGAGGGUGCGAGCGUUAAUCGGAAUUACUGGGCGUAAAGGGUGCGUAGGUGGUUUGAUAAGUUAUCUGUGAAAUUCCUGGGCUUAACCUGGGCUGGACGGAUGAUACUGUGAGACUAGAGUAUAGGAGAGGGUAGUGGAAUUUCCGGUGUAGCGGUGAAAUGCGUAGAGAUCGGAAGGAACACCAGUGGCGAAGGCGGCCAUCUGGGACAACACUGACGCUGAAGCACGAAAGCGUGGGGAGCAAACAGG
rnacentral:rRNA from 1 species